GUGAGGAAUAUUGGACAAUGGGCGCAAGCCUGAUCCAGCCAUGCCGCGUGCAGGAAGACGCAUCUAUGGUGUGUAAACUGCUUUUGUACGGGAAGAAACACUCCCUCGUGAGGGAGCUUGACGGUACCGUAAGAAUAAGGAUCGGCUAACUCCGUGCCAGCAGCCGCGGUAAUACGGAGGAUCCAAGCGUUAUCCGGAAUCAUUGGGUUUAAAGGGUCCGUAGGCGGUUUAAUAAGUCAGUGGUGAAAGCCCAUCGCUCAACGAUGGAACGGCCAUUGAUACUGUUAGACUUGAAUUACAAGGAAGUAACUAGAAUAUGUAGUGUAGCAGUGAAAUGCUUAGAUAUUACAUGGAAUACCAAUUGCGAAGGCAGGUUACUACUUGUGGAUUGACGCUGAUGGACGAAAGCGUGGGGAGCGAACAGGAUUAGAAACCCGGGUAGUCC
rnacentral:rRNA from 1 species